UCUAAAACUCGAGAUAUGGGUUGAACACUGAAUAGUGUCUGGGCUGCAGGACAGAUUCCGACUUCUCCGUUGUUGCUACAAUUUGAACCUAAAGUCAUUUGAAUCUUAGACUCUUCAUGAAUGUUUUAGGCCUUGUCUUAGCUUUCCAUA
rfam:Populus trichocarpa isolate Nisqually-1 chromosome 18, whole genome shotgun sequence.